rnacentral:rRNA from 1 species
UAAAGCUAAAAAGAGCGCAGGGCGAAUGCCUUGGCAUUGGGAGCCGAAGAAGGACGUGAUUAACUGCGAUAAGCUCCGGGGAGUGGUAAGUACACAUUGAUCCGGAGAUUUCCGAAUGGAGCAAUCCAGCUGAGCAAACCUCAGCUAUCGUAUACUGAAUAAAAUAGGUAUACGAGGGAAACCGCCUGAACUGAAACAUCUAAGUAGGGCGAGGAAGAGAAAUCAACCGAGAUUUCCUAAGUAGUGGCGAGCGAACGGGAAAGAGGCCAAACCAUAGGAAGCAAUUCUUAUGGGGUUACGGACUGCAUUUAGUAUUGUUAGAGGAUAGCCGAACACUUUGGGAAAAGUGAUCAGAGAGCGUGAGAGUCGCGUAGGCGAAAUUUGAUAACAGCGAGCAGGAUCCAGAGUACCGCCGGACACGUGAAACCCGGUGGGAAGUCGGGGGGACCACCCUCCAAGCCUAAAUACUACCCAAUGACCGAUAGAGAAUAAGUACUGUGAAGGAAAGGUGAAAAGAACCCCGGGAGGGGAGUGAAAGAGAACCUGAAACCCUGUGCUUACAAGCACAUAGAGCACAUUAACGUGUGAUAUGGUACCUUUUGUAGAAUGGUCCGGCGAGUUAUGGUAUGCAGCAAGGUUAAGCACUUAAGGUGUGGAGCCGAAGCGAGAGCAAGUCUUAAUAGGGCGACAAGUUGUAUGCCAUAGACCCGAAACCGGGUGACCUAGCCAUGUCCAGGCUGAAGUGGAGGUAAAGCUCCAUGGAGGGCCGAACCGACCCCCGUUGAAAAGGUGGCGGAUGAGGUGUGGCUAGCGGAGAAAUUCCAAUCGAACCCGGAUAUAGCUGGUUCUCCCCGAAAUAGCUUUAGGGCUAGCGUUGUAUUAGAUUACCGGAGGUAAAGCACUGAAUUGGCUAGGGGCCGAGAGGUUACUGAACCAUAUCAAACUAAGAAUGCCGGAUAAUUGAUGUACAGCAGUCAGACUACGUGAGAUAAGUCUCGUGGUCAAAAGGGAAACAGCCCAGACCCACAGCUAAGGUCCCGAAAUAGAUUUAAGUGGAGAAGGAUGUGGAGUUGCAUAGACAACCAGGAUGUUGGCUUAGAAGCAGCCACUCAUUAAAAGAGUGCGUAAUAGCUCACUGGUCGAGUGACUCUGCGCCGAAAAUUCAACGGGGCUAAAAUCUAUACCGAAGCUUGGGCUUGUACAGCAAUGUACAGGGGUAGGGGAGCGUUGUAUGAGGGGUGAAGUCAGAGCGGAAGCACUGGUGGACUUCAUACAAGUGAGAAUGCCGGAAUGAGUAGCGAGAAUUAUGUGAGAAUCAUAAUGGCCGAAAGUCUAAGGUUUCAGAAGGAAGGUUCGUCCGCUUCUGGUAAGCCGGGAGCUAAGGUAAGGCCGAAAGGCGUAGCCGAUGCACAUACGGUAGAAAUUCCGUAGCCUCCAUCCAUUUAAGCACAGGGACACUUUUGAAGGGCUUAGCCGAGCGUUGGUUGCCUCGGUCGUAAGGGACUGCGAAUGAGCGGGAAGUAAGUUUGGAAGAAGGCGAGAAAAGCUGUGUGUACAGAAGAUGGAGCCCGUACCGCAAACCGACACAGGUAGACAGGAAGAAGAUUCUAAGGCCAACGGGAGAAGGGUUGUUAAGGAACUCGGCAAGUUGACCCCGUAACUUAGGGAGAAGGGGUGCUCUUUAGUAGAGCCGCAGAGAAUAGGCCCAAGCGACUGUUUAGCAAAAACACAGCUCUAUGCUAAAUCGAAAGAUGACGUAUAUGGGGUGACACCUGCCCGGUGCCGGAAGGUUAAGAGGAGGAGUGAGAGCUCUGAAUUGAAGCCCCGGUAAACGGCGGCCGUAACUAUAACGGUCCUAAGGUAGCGAAAUUCCUUGUCAGGUAAGUUCUGACCCGCACGAAUGGUGUAACGAUUUGGGCACUGUCUCAACAACCCGCCCGGCGAAAUUGUAGUACCGGUGAAGAUGCCGGUUACCCGCGACUAGACGGAAAGACCCCAUGGAGCUUCACUGUAGCUUAAUAUUGAAUUUCGGUAUUUCAUGUACAGGAUAGGUGGGAGACUGGGAAGUCAGGGCGUCAGCCUUGAUGGAGUCGACCUUGGGAUACCACUCUUGAGGUGCUGGAAUUCUAACCUGUGGCUCUGAAUCGAGUCAGGGGACAUUGUUAGGUGGGCAGUUUGACUGGGGCGGUCGCCUCCUAAAAGGUAACGGAGGCGCUCAAAGGUUCGCUCAGCAUGGAUGGAAACCAUGCUUUUGAGUGUAAACGCAAAAGCGAGCCUAACUGCGAGACUGACGGGUCGAGCAGUAACGAAAGUUGGAGUUAGUGAUCCGGCGGUAUGUGAGUGGAAAUGCCGUCGCUCAACGGAUAAAAGCUACCCUGGGGAUAACAGGCUGAUCUCCCCCAAGAGUCCACAUCGACGGGGAGGUUUGGCACCUCGAUGUCGGCUCAUCGCAUCCUGGGGCUGAAUUCGGUCCCAAGGGUUUGGCUGUUCGCCAAUUAAAGCGGUACGCGAGCUGGGUUCAGAACGUCGUGAGACAGUUCGGUCCCUAUCUGUCGUGGGCGUAGGAUAUUUGAAAGGAGCUGUCCCUAGUACGAGAGGACCGGGAUGGACGCACCGCUGGUGCACCAGUUGUCAUGCCAAUGGCACAGCUGGGCAGCUAAGUGCGGAACGGAUAAACGCUGAAGGCAUCUAAGCGUGAAGCCGACCUUAAGAUAAGAUAUCCCUUCGUAAGAGUAAGACCUCUCAAAGACUAUGAGUUUGAUAGGCUCAAAGUGUAAGCGUGGUGACACGUUCAGCUUGCGAGUACUAAUCGGUCGAGGGCUUUUCCUU